rnacentral:rRNA from 1 species
AUUGAACGCUGGCGGCAGGCCUAACACAUGCAAGUCGAGCGGAUGAAGGGAGCUUGCUCCUGGAUUCAGCGGCGGACGGGUGAGUAAUGCCUAGGAAUCUGCCUGGUAGUGGGGGAUAACGUCCGGAAACGGGCGCUAAUACCGCAUACGUCCUGAGGGAGAAAGUGGGGGAUCUUCGGACCUCACGCUAUCAGAUGAGCCUAGGUCGGAUUAGCUAGUUGGUGGGGUAAAGGCCUACCAAGGCGACGAUCCGUAACUGGUCUGAGAGGAUGAUCAGUCACACUGGAACUAAGACACGGUCCAGACUCCUACGGGAGGCAGCAGUGGGGAAUAUUGGACAAAGGGCGAAAGCCUGAUCCAGCCAUGCCGCGUGUGUGAAGAAGGUCUUCGGAUUGUAAAGCACUUUAAGUUGGGAGGAAGGGCAGUAAGUUAAUACCUUGCUGUUUUGACGUUACCAACAGAAUAAGCACCGGCUAACUUCGUG